rnacentral:lncRNA from 1 species
AUUACUAACCGUACUUAGCACAAAUAGUAAAAAAUUUAAUGGUUGAUAUCUCAUGAUGUCUCAAAUUGAAAACUUAGUUGUUUCAUGUUUCCGGCUAAAUUUAUUUUUAAAAAAAUAAAACGAAAUGAAUAGUAUACUAUCUUAAGCUUCUUUUUCAUACAUAGAAUUUUACGGAACUUUAAAAAUAUUACAAAAAAUACUUGACAAACAUAAGAUAAAAAAGAAAAACACAAGAGAUGUAUUACACAUAUUGAAAUCACCUCACCAAAGCAUAUUCAAUUGAACGCGAGUCAUUACUUAAAAAUAAUAAAACAUCUUCAUUAAGAAAAAAAAGAAAAAGAAAAAGAGAGAGUACUAAUUGAGCCAUUCUCGUGGAGGACCUAUUUUAAUCCUUAUUCGGUGAAGGAAUCGCUCAUCAGAUCAUCGAGACAAUGCCCACGUACCUGAGUAUCAUUUGAGCCAUUCUCAUCCCACACAAAAUUACACAGGUAUGUAGGUAUAGGAGGAAUGUUGACCUCUUGAACUCCCUCCAGCAUCUGAACAACUAGUCCCAUUGCUGGCCUACUGCUUUCAAGUUCUUGAAUGCACCAACAAGCAACUCUACAUGCUCUUUCGAGCUCUUCACUGUAAGCUUCACCCUUCAAAUUGUUGUCUAACAAGCAUGCGACCUCGCCUUCGUGGAUUUUCGCCGCGGCCCAAGUAGGAAAAUACACAUACGUUCCGUCUUCCGACCUCUCCGUGUUUCUCCUGCCGGAUAUUAUCUCAAAAAGCAUCAUCCCGAAGCUAUAAACGUCGGCCUUGUGCGUGAUAGCUAGCCCCGAUAUCCACUCCGGCGCGAGAUAUCCUAUUGUCCCCCUCAUAGUUGUCAGGACCCGGCUUCCGUCUCUCGUGAAGAGCUUCGCCAUGCCGAAAUCUGCGAUUCUUGGACAGAAUUUCUCAUCCAAGAGUAUGUUUUCCGGUUUAAUAUCACAGUGUAUGAUGAAGUCCUUGCAUUUCUCAUGGAGAUAAGCUAAGCCUCUCGCAAUUCCAAUUGCUAUUCGGUAUCGCUGGUUCCAAUCUAAGAAGGUAUCGGAAUUAGUUUUUGAAAAUAAGUGAGAGUCUAAAGAGCCGUUCGUCACGAACUCGUAGACGAGCAAUCUUCUAGUUCCUUCCGCACAAAAGCCGAGGAGGCGAACUAUGUUAAUAUGUUGAAUCAUGCCGACCGUGAUCACCUCUGCUCUGAAUUGCUUCUCUCCCUGCCUGAGUCCUUCAAGUUUCUUCACGGCCACAAGCGUUGAAUCACGCAACGUCCCCAUGAAAACACUUCCGAAGCUCCCUUGGCCCAGCUUCUUUGAGAAAUUCUUGGUAGCACUCUUCAGAUCAGAGUAGAAGAACACUCGAAAACUCUUCAAAUAAAUUGGGUCUGUAGUGCGCGAUCUUUUCUUGCAUCUCCAAGUAACGAUCAAACCGACAGCCAAGACAGUCGCAGUCCCUAAUACUACACCUAAGGUCAGUCCUAUCGGCGGCCGCUCUGGAUGCUUAUUUCUUCUCCGAGAAUCUAUUUCUGUUCGUAUGCUAAUUGACCAGCCAUCUGAGCAAUAAUCGCAUUGGGUCGAAUUGAUCAAAUCUCCGUGCCACAACUUGCAGUCGAAACGAAAAGAGAAAGCGGUGCAAGAACAAUUGCUUGUGCAGGCAGAUUCACAUCCUUCAUAAUCAUUGGCAGGGAAACUUUGAGGAUUAUCAGGAAAUCUCUUUAAAAAAUACACCAUAUAGCUCGAAUUCUCGUUCUUGCAAUUCAGAGGGAUAACUCUACGACAUCCACUGCUGUAAUCCCCUCCUUCCCAAGAUUGUGGGUUUGUCGGUAAAAACCCUGCUGGGCAUAUGCAUUGCAUACUUGCUGUGUCACAGAUGCCAAAAGGCCCACAGUAGAAACCAACACCGCAGGAAUAAAAGGGAUACUUCUGAAUUAAGAGCCCCACGGGGGGAUUCUCUGACCAUUUAUACCUGUUAAGCCCAUUAAUAUCCAAAAAAAAAAUAGUGUAGCCAUCUAUGCCAUGGAAAGAGAAAGUGCCUUUUUGGCUAUCUUGAUGAAUAUCUAUCACGGUAGGAACAGCUAAAUGCUGGACAGAGUGAUCAUACUCACCUGAUCCGUUCGUUUGUAACACGAACUGGGGACUUCCAACUGUCUCUACAUCGAGUGAAAAGUAGUAGGAGGUUAAGAAGAUGUGAUUCCCGGUGGACCGGUCAAACCCAAGUGGUGCUCCUGGGAGCCACGUAUCGGAUGGGUGAUCAAAGCUCUGCCAUAACACAUUUGAAGCGUUAAGUCCAUCUCGCAGAACGAGGUUUCCGCUGUCUAGCAGAACUGCAACUGUCGAAUUACUCGCCGCCGGUGAUGUCACGUUGGUCGACCAAAUUAAACUGCCAUCUUUGGAGAGGAGGAUUAAAUUACCGUCAUCGGAGAUACUUAGCUGCAAAUCGGCGAUGGUGACUACGGUGCUAUCUAUAUAUGCAGACCAAACUGUGAGCCCGAGAUUAUAUUUCCGGCACCAAAUGGUAAGGCCAAGUAUGUAGAUAUCAUCUGGCGUGGGCACCCUCAGCUCGAAAUCUCCGUUUUUGGAGACGAUGGACUGGUUACCGGCGAGAGGAUUGCCGGCGGUGAUGGUGUCACGUAGUGCCACGACAGCACGGAGGUUGCAACAGCAGAAAACAAAUACGGAAGCGAGGAGAAACAGCAGCUUUGGCUCUUCGGAGUUCAUCAGAGGUCUCUUCAAGAGAAUCUGGGGAUUAUUUGCAGAACAAAACUCCGCAUGCAGCAACCUCAAACGAAGAUGAUAAAAAGAUCCAAGUUUUCGAAAUGCGCCUUCUCUUGUUUGGUUCAUGUGCAAAAUUUGUGGAGCACACUAAAGUUUGAAUCCUAUUGGUGGGCUCGUAUGCAGCUUCCUCCAAGUCAAAGUGGUAGACUCUCUUGACCGACUCUUUACUUUUCUACAGUCAAAUUAAGUGCCCAUCUUUCUAGCACGAGGACUCUUUUUUUUUUUUUUUUUUAAAUGCUAUUAACACAUACAAAAAAUAGAUAAAUAUUUUACUGUUCAUAGUGCAAGGGUUUAGACAACCAUUUUAAAAACAUACAAAAAAUAGAUAAAAAUUUUACUGUUCAUAAUGCAAGGGUUUAGACAACCAUUUUAAAAUUUUUUAUAUUUAUAAAGUAAAAAAAAUGAUAAAAUUACGGUAGAAAAAUUGACCCUUCAAUGGUAUGAAUGGAUGAGUUCUUGGCAAAUAUUUGCUCCUCUUAAUUUUAACAUCCCAAAACCUUUUAAUAUAGAAGAUUUGGGACAUAAAUUUAGAAUCCCUUAGAACGAAGAGAAUUAUAAACUACAUAUAAUACCGUGUUAUCCAAAAUAUAGUUAUCAUAAAAAAUAAUUCGGCGUUAAGCUUAACGGUAUAUACUUUAUUCAGUCAAUAAUAUAACGGAUAAAAAUCGAUUGAGAUAAGGGUCAAUGAAAUGUAAUGCGGAUCCAAUUACUCAUUCAUUUCACCCAAAGUAGCGGUGUAAACAAGCUGAACACGAGCGAGCUGGACGUCCGCCUCAUGUUCGCCUCGUUUAAUAAACGAGCCGAACAUGAGCUAGCUUGUUAAAGUAUCGAGCCGAAAAAUUUAGCUCGUGUUCAGCUCGCUGGCCAACGAACAAUAAGUUAAAAGGAUUAGAUUGAAUAUAUAUAAAAAAUAAAUUUAUAAAAUCUUAUCCAUUAGACUUUGAUCUAAUAGUUGAAAUUUUACAUAUAAAUGAAUCUUUUUAUAAUUAAGCUUGUAUUUAUAUUUUUAUUUUGCUAAAAAUUAAAUAAUAAAAAUAUAUAUUAUAUAUAUAAUUAUUUAUUUAUAUAUAUAAAUAUAAAUUAAAUAAAUUAUAUAAAUAUAAAAUAUAUGUAUUCGAGUUGUUUUUGAGCCGAACACGAGCGAGCUAACCCCAGCUUGUGUUCGACUCGUUUAAUAAACGAAUCGAAAAAUUCAGCUCGUGUUCAGCUCGUUUACUAAAUGAACGAUUCGAUUUCAAGCUCAUUUCGAGCCGAACACGAGCUGGCUCGCGAACAGCAAGCUAAAUUGCCACCCCUAACCCAAAGUAAAUCUUAACACAUUGGCCUAGAUCGUGACACAUUAUUUGUCGAACACGAACCAUCUAGCCAGUGAAUAACCAUCCAUCCACUGGGCCUCAACAGUGGAUAUCUAGUCCCGUCUCAUUUAAUUUUGUUGGAAUAGUCUACUGCUGUGAGAUCACCAAAUCCAUUAUUCAUCAUUUUUUACAAUAUUAAAAUUUUUAGCUUCACUCCGCCUUACUCGAUCGCUUUUCCGUUUCUGUUUCUUUGUUUCUUUGUUUUACUUCUUUUUGCUCGUUUCUUUUUUUUCGAAAGCCCUAGUUGCUUCCAACUUAUAUGCUCAGUUCAUUUUGCUUAAUAAAUGAAAUAGGUAGCUUGCUAUUUUUUAAAAAAAAAAAAAAAUUAAAACGGUCUUGUAUUAGAGACUUACUCUACAGAAAUUUUGACAGAAAAUAAGUACCAAACAAAGGACAUGAUGUCCAUUAUGUAUUGGAAAUAUCCUCCAAUAGGUAAUACCUAACUAAUAAUUGAUAAUGGAAGCGUAGCAGUUAAUCAUGUCCACGCUGUUUUCUUCAUAUCCUUUUUCCAAAUAAUGGUGGCGUGGCGCGCUAUAUCGUAUCUAAUUCAAUACUCAUUCCCGAUUUAUUUAUUUUUUUAAUAAAAGAAAAUUGAAAAUAAAAAAAAAUUAUUUCGUUCGUCCAAUUAUGAUUGUGCGCCUCUAAUAGUCCAAUCACACCGCGAUGGACAACCAUCAAAUUAAAAUACCAGAAAACGCCGCGCAUGCUUUGUGAUUCUAACGGCCGCACAAAGGAAAAUGUUGUAAAGAGAAUAUGAGAAAAUUGAGGGACUAACUAGUUUUAACAGGUUCAAACACUAAAUUUUCAAUACGACAGAAAGAAACUGCAUGCGAAUGACUAUGUAUAUAUAUCCACGCACGCUUGACCCAGUUUGUCUAUAUACGAGAGCACAGGAGGCGCAAUCUAAACGUCGAUCACAUGAUGAGCAAUCCAGCUAGCAAGAUCUGCUAGCAUACCAGAUAUUUUACUUAGUUAUAUAAACUGUGAAUAUCCCCACUUUAAGUGGUAAAUAUUAUAUAUAUACACAUCCUCGGACCGAAGGAGUUAAGAUUUCGUUAAAUUUUUAUAUAGUUUAAUUCUAGUUAGAUUAGGAUAAAAAUUUAAAUUUGUAAUAAAUAAAUCAAGUAGAAUUUAUAUCUAGACUACGGUACGUAAAAUAUAUAUAUAUAUAUAUAUAUAUAUAUAUAUAUAUAUAUAUAUAUAUAUAUAUAUAUAUAAAUAAUUAGACUCUUAUAAUUAAUAUCUAUAUUUUUGAUGUGGCGUUCCCAUCCAAUCAAUUAUUUUUUUUAAAUUUACUCAUCCCAUCAUAAUUAUUAAAAAAUAUAUUUUUAUUAUAUUUUUUUUCAAGUAAAAAGAUUUAGUUAACUGUUUAUUGAUAAUAUGACAUAAAUGUUACGUAGAAAACUUUCUCUAUAAUGAGAAGGAAGUCUAUACUAUAGCACUUACACCACGUCAUUAAUAAAUAAUCAAUUAUAAACGUGUGGAGGCGUUGCGAAGGGACUUCUUCUGGAAGGGUCGGGCAAGCCCUUCAAGGGGAGGUUAUAUGGUAGCUUGGAAAAAAAUUUGUAUGAGUAAGAAUGAAGGGGGAUUAGGUGAUAUCUCAUGAUGUCUCAAAUUGAAAACUUAGUUGUUUCACAUUUCCGCGAAGUUUAUUUAAAAAAAAAUAAAACAAAAUGAAUAGCAUGCUAUCUUAAGUUUCUUUUUCACACAUAAAAUUUUACAGAACUUUAAAAACAUUACAAAAAAUACUUGACAAACAUAAAAAAAAAAAAAAA